rnacentral:tRNA from 1 species
GGGGUUGUGGCUUGGUGGUAGAGUGCGUGCCUUCCAUGUGAGAGGCACUGAGUUCAAUCCUCAGCACCACA